rnacentral:rRNA from 1 species
CUGGAAUGGUUUAUGUUCCAAAUGAUUUAUCGCCGUAGGAUGGGACUGCGGCCUAUCAGUUUGUUGGUGAGGUAAUGGCCCACCAAGACUAUUACAGGUACGGGCUCUGAGAGGAGUAGCCCGGAGAUGGGUACUGAGACACGGACCCAGGCCCUAUGGGGCGCAGCAGGCGAGAAAACUUUGCAAUGUGCGAAAGCACGACAAGGUUAAUCCGAGUGGUUUCUGCUAAAGGAACCUUUUGUCAGUCCUAGAAACACUGAUGAAUAAGGGGUGGGCAAGUUCUGGUGUCAGCCGCCGCGGUAAAACCAGCACCUCAAGUGGUCAGGAUGAUUAUUGGGCCUAAAGCAUCCGUAGCCGGCUCUGUAAGUUUUCGGUUAAAUCUGUACGCUCAACGUACAGGCUGCCGGGAAUACUGUAGAGCUAGGGAGUGGGAGAGGUAGACGGUACUCGGUAGGAAGGGGUAAAAUCCUUUGAUCUAUUGAUGACCACCUGUGGCGAAGGCGGUCUACCAGAACACGUCCGACGGUGAGGGAUGAAAGCUGGGGGAGCAAACCGGAUUA